UACCCAGGUGUUCUCGUUAAACUGGAACCACGCCUAUCCCAUCUCGAACUGGGCUGUGAAAUAGUUUAGGAGUUCUUUUGUACUCGUCGAAAGUUUGGCCGGGAAGAAGAACUUAAUGCCUGGGUU
rnacentral:rRNA from 1 species